rnacentral:lncRNA from 1 species
GGGGAAGUUAAUCUCCCUGUCUAGAGGUCACUGUGAAGCCUGUGGAAAGGAACUGAGACCUCCAGCUGUCAGCCGCAUAAGUGAGCCUUCUGGGAAGCAGCCCCCAGCCUCAGGGAAGCCUUCAGAAGGGUUACAGUGUAAUUUGUCAAGACUGUGAAGCCGCAACGUGAUCUUAUUUUUGUAAGAUAUAAAAAUAUACUGUUAAUAAUUGCGAUAUGUAUCCUAAGUAUCUAUCAUAUCUGACAGGACGCGUGUGUCCGUCAGGAAGUGCUUGGAGGCACAGUGGCCCUCAAGCCUGGAGUCAUCCUUGGCCCGCAGUGAGGCUCAGGUCUGUGCGCAGGUACUCACCAAAUGAACCGAAAACUGCUCUGGGGGCGUUGGUUUGGGGGCAGCUGAACUGGGAGAUCCUUGUGGAAUAGAAGUUGCUUCCCAAAGAUCCCAGAAAAAUAGUACACUGGACCUAGCUCAGAAUGAUCCAGGGGCUCCUGGAGCCUUCUCCAACAUAGCAGACCCUAGAGAGCAGCUGAGGUGUGGGGCAGGAAGCAGGAUACCAGGAUGACCCUGGGCCUCUCCACCCCAACCCUGCCUGUGCACCCCAGGCCCUGGAAGCUGGGCUGGGCUCCUGAGCUUGGCAGCCCAGGCAGUGGCCAGGCCCCUGGGAACCCCUGGGCUUCCCAAGGCAGGAGAGGACAAACAGGCCACCAUCUCUUAUAAUUUCACCUCUUCACUCCUCAGAAGUUGGAAUGUGUCAUACCGGAUAACAUCUUAGAGUCAAUGGUAUUGCUAUAAAUUACAUUCCAGAAAGAUGAUUAAUAAAGCUGACUAAAGUCUGGCCGGGCGCAGUGGCUCACGCUUGUAAUCUCAGCACUUUGGGAGGCCAAAGCGGGUGGAUCCCAAGGUCAGCAGAUCGAGACCAUCCUGGCUAACAUGGUGAAACCCCGUCUCUACUAAAAAAUGCAAAAAAUUAGCCGGGCAUGGUGGCAGGUGCCUGUAGUCCCAGCUACUCGGGAGGCUGAGGCAAGAGAAUGGCGUGAACCCUGGAGGCAGAGCUUGCAGUGAGCCGAGAUCACGCCGUUGUACUCCUGCCUGGGCGAAAGAGCAAGACUCCGU